rnacentral:rRNA from 1 species
GACCUGGCUGGGUGGUCUUGCCGCAAGGUAAGUACUGCUCUGGUCGGGUCUUUCCUUCUGGGGAACCAGUGUGCUCUUAGUUGGGUGCGCUGGGGAUCCAGGACUUUUACUUUGAAAAAAUUAGAGUGUUUAAAGCAGGCCUACGCUUGAAUACAUUAGCAUGGAAUAAUAGAAUAGGAC